CAGGUGCCAGCAGCCGCGGUAAUUCCAGCUCCAAUAGCGUAUAUUAAAGUUGUUGCAGUUAAAAAGCUCGUAGUUGGAUUUGUGGUUGGAGAGGUCCGCCGUUGCUAUGCUUCGUGUUGGAUCUUUCCGUCCAUCCUUGGGUGGAUCCUGUGUGGCAUUCAGUUGUCGUGCAGGGGAUGCCCAUCGUUUACUGUGAAAAAAUUAGAGUGUUCAAAGCAGGCUUACGCCUUGAAUAUAUUAGCAUGGAAUAAUAAGAUAGGACCUGGGUACUAUUUUGUUGGUUUGCGCACCGAGGUAAUGAUUAAUAGGGACAGUUGGGGGUAUUCGUAUUCCAUUGUCAGAGGUGAAAUUCUUGGAUUUUUGGAAGACGAACUACUGCGAAAGCAUUUACCAAGGAUGUUUUCAUUAAUCAAGAACGAAAGUUAGGGGAUCGAAGAUGAUUAGAUACCAUCGUAGUCUUAACCAUAAACUAUGCCGACAAGGGAUUGGCGGUUGUUCGUUUUGACUCCGUCAGCACCUUAUGAGAAAUCACAAGUCUUUGGGUUCCGGGGGGAGUAUGGUCGCAAGGCUGAAACUUAAAGGAAUUGACGG
rnacentral:rRNA from 1 species